CAAGUCGGACGAGAAAGGAGAUUUCGGUCUCUGAGUACAGUGGCGUACGGGUGCGUAACACGUAAGUAAUCUGCCCCGAACUCCAGGAUAACCCUCCGAAAGGAGGGCUAAUACUAGAUAGGGUCCCCGAGGUGUAGGCUGCGGGGGGAAAACGGGCCUCUGUUUCAUGCUCGUGGUUCGGGAUGAGCUUGCGGCCCAUUAGCUUGUUGGUAGGGUAAUGGCUUACCAAGGCUGCGAUGGGUAGCUGGUCUGAGAGGAUGAUCAGCCACACUGGCACUGAGACACGGGCCAGACUCCUACGGGAGGCAGCAGUGGGGAAUUUUGCGCAAUGGGCGAAAGCCUGACGCAGUAACGCCGCGUGGAGGAUGAAGGCCUUCGGGUUGUAAACUCCUGUCAGGGGGAACGACGGGGAAAGGGUGAUAAAUCCUUUCCUCCAGACGGUACCUCCAAAGGAAGCCCCGGCUAAUUCCGUGCCAGCAGCCGCGGUAAUACGGAAGGGGCAAGCGUUGUUCGGAAUCAUUGGGCGUAAAGGGCGCGUAGGUGGUUCUGUAUGUCUACCGUGAAAGCAUAUAGCUCAACUGUAUUUUGUCGGUAGAAACUGCAGGACUUGAGGCUGGGAGGGGCUGGUGGAAUUCCCUGUGUAGCGGUGAAAUGCGUAGAGAUGGGGGGGAACACUCGUGGCGAAGGCGGCCAGCUAGACCAGUUCUGACACUGAGGCGCGACAGCGUGGGGAGCAAACAGGAUUAGAUACCCUGGUAUUCCACGCUGUAAACGAUGGGGCACUAGGUGCCGGCGGUCUUGAUCCCGUCGGUGCCGGCGCUAACGCAUUA
rnacentral:rRNA from 1 species